CCUGGCCUCACGUGCGUGCCCACAGUCCAGGGCUCCUCCUUUGUUACUAUUUAUGGUAGAUGUAAACCGAUAAGCAUGACGACGGAAGAAGCCGGUACGACGGAAGCUGAACACACCAAUCAUGGGCAUCACGUGACCAAACAUGGCUAGAGGGUCGCUAUAUAUAUGUAUACUUGUGUUCACGCUUUGUUUAAAAUUUGUCCUGACAUGUGACAUGUUAAUUUAGAAUAAAUCAUAUCUGCUCUUC
rnacentral:misc_RNA from 1 species